rnacentral:rRNA from 1 species
UUCCUACGGGACGCAGCAGUGAGGAAUAUUGGUCAAUGGGCGAGAGCCUGAACCAGCCAAGUCGCGUGAGGGAAGACGGUCCUAUGGAUUGUAAACCUCUUUUGUCGGGGAGCAAAAAGACUACGUGUAGUCCCAAGCGAGAGUACCCGAAGAAAAAGCAUCGGCUAACUCCGUGCCAGCAGCCGCGGUAAUACGGAGGAUGCGAGCGUUAUCCGGAUUUAUUGGGUUUAAAGGGUGCGUAGGCGGGACGGUAAGUCAGCGGUAAAAAUGCGGAGCUCAACUCCGUCGAGCCGUUGAAACUGUCG